rnacentral:tRNA from 1 species
GGCGCUCUGGCCGAGUGGUUAAGGCGUUUGACUCGAAUGAUUGCUUUCUAGCAACCAGUUAUACCAAUAUCAAAUCCUUUCGGGGGCGUGUGUUCGAAUCACACGGGCGUCG